rnacentral:rRNA from 1 species
AGCAGCCGCGGUAAUUCCAGCUCCAAUAGCGUAUAUUAAAGUUGUUGCAGUUAAAAAGCUCGUAGUUGAAUUUCGAGAUCAAUUUGUGGGUCGUGCCUCGGUACGUACUGGCAUUAUCGAUUUCUCCCUUCUGAAGAACCGCGAUGUCAUUAAUUUGGUGUUGUGGGGAAUCAGGACUGUUACUUUGAAAAAUUAGAGUGUUUAAAGCAGGCUUACGCUUGAAUACAUUAGCAUGGAAUAAUGAAAUAGGACGUUUGAUUCUAUUUUGUUGGUUUCUAGGAUCGACGUAAUGAUUAAUAGGGAUAGUUGGGGGCAUUAGUAUUCAAUUGUCAGAGGUGAAAUUCUUGGAUUUAUUGAAGACUAACUACUGCGAAAGCAUUUGUCCAAGGAUGUUUUACAUUAAUCAAGAACGAAAGUUAGGGGAUCGAAGACGAUCAGAUACCGUACGUAGUCUUAACCAUAAACUAAUGCCGACUAGGGAUCGGAUGAU